rnacentral:lncRNA from 1 species
AUUAGGAUGUCUCAGAAUAUAAAUAAUUGUCUUUCUGAACCAAUAGCUUUUUAAUGCUGGACAUGACAGGAUAUUCUAUCUCAUACUGAGUACCACGGGCUGUAGAAGAUGCAGUUUUGGGAUACACAAUCCUGCUCCCCGGGAAGGAGUUUGGGAGUUGAUGAGGAUGCUGUUUAUUUGUAGGAAAUGAUUGCUCUGAUCUCCACUCUAAUUCUAGGUGCAUUUGCUGGCGUUGUCUGAACCUGAAGUGAUGUGCAGACUUUAGCUUAGCUUUCUUUGAGGGUGAAUGGUGUCCCUGGUGCCCUGGGAUAACAUCCAGAUUUGUCCUGAAUGGUGUCUCUGUUCCUGCUUAGGAGCCUUGACUGGGUGGGUAAUGACGAAGCCCUGCUGUGCUGCUUGCCCAGAGUCCGCUCUCUCUGGGAAGCACCGAGGAGCUGGCACAGCAAACACCCUAUGUGCAGCCAGGAGUUUGGGGAGUGGAUAAUUUCUGCAGUUAAUCUUUCUCUCAAGGUAGGUGGAGAUGGCUUCACUUUGCUCACAUUAGCAGGUAGAAGUAAUCUGGGGAAGGAGGAAAUGGGAGGAACACAAUAG